CAAACCCUUGACGCAGGUUUUUCCUCUCAUCCCCCUCUUUUCUUCCAAAUCCACGCCUUCCUUCUUCCUGUGCGCUCCCUCUCAGAGCCGGAAGCUGCUAGAUCUCGGCACCCCGUCGGUUGGACAUCUGCGCUGACGUCCCCGCCGUGUUAACUGACUUCCGAUGGCCGCCGCCGGAGCCCCUCCUCGCCGGCGCCUCAUUAGUGAUCGCCGAGCCGGGUUUUUGCGCCAUGGAUACGGGAAAUGUGGUUUAUUCGGGUUCUUAAUCCUUAGUUUGCGCUCCCCUCCACCCCCACAUUGACCACCUAAAGCUUUAUUCUGGAAAAAGCGAAGAAUUAGAAGCGUUUUUUUCUUCUCCCUAGCCCUCUGGAACCUUCCGGAGCCCUCGCGGUCGCCCACCUCCUCCCCGCUCUCCUCGCUGCCACCUCCCGCCGCUCUCAGCCGUCGCCUUCAUCCCCAUCGUCGCCGGCGUCGGUCUUCCCCCUUCCAAUCUCCCUCAGGUUUUCCCACAGAUCUCCGAAAAAGAGAGACGCCGACCUCCUUCCUGCUCACCUCGCCACCACCUCCCACCGGUCACCGCCGUCGCCUUCUUCCCCAUCGUCACUGGCGUCGGCCUUCCCCUCUGAUCUCUCCUUUCCUACGGAUCUCUGAAAAAGAUAAUGAAAUGAAAAGGAAAAGAAGCGAAAAGGAAAAAAAUUGAUCAUCUAUGAGUCCCAAUCGGGUGGGAGGCUUGGAGCGGCCGAAAGGGAAGCUUAGACGAUGGCUGGGGUUUUGUGUUGGGUAUUUCCUUUCUUUUUCUGUUUUCGGGAGUCGCAAUCGGGUGGGAGGCAUGCAUUCUCAUCGUUCGGAGAAAUGCCUAAGUCUGAUAUUUGUUGUGUAUGAAAGCUCCCCUCCACUUCCCGCGAACCAAACGAGUCCGUAGGGUCGGUGGCUUGUUUGGUGCUCCCUCGAGCUGCUCCCUGUUACGAUGCCCCCGGUGGCCGUUGGAUCUUUCACUGCUCGCUUUGAGAUGUGUGCAGAUGGAUGGAUGAUGGAGGUCGGAGUGGUUUGAGAUCUGGGCGGCGGUGAUCCAACGGUGGAUUCGUGCGGAGGAAGGUGACCCGAACCCUCUGUGUUUGUGGAGGUAAUGAUGAUGAAAGCUCUUCAGACUGGUGCUUCUUUUUUGGUAACCAUUGCUUGGCAGCUUGGACGGUCUAAUGGUCUACAGACAACCGCUGCUGCAAUUAGGGGUGAGCAUGGUCCAGUUUCAUGCUCACACCUAAGCCGAACCAGGGUUUGACAUUUUUAGAUACCAAAUCGGACCAAUAAAAGAUUAAAACCAAACCAAACCAACAUGAUUUAAACAGUCUGAUUUGGUUUGGUUUACCGAUUUAUAUUAUUAUUAUUAUUAUUUUUGAUUCAUGAAGGCUUGUUUUCUUUCCACGUAAGAGUAUCAUCAAGAGAAUUUAUCAAGUAAAAUGAUUUAAGUUAAUAUAAGAUAUUGUCACUCAACAAAAUAAAAUUCUUAAACAAAUAUCAUUAUUAAGGAUUAAAAUAAAAAUCUCCAACACAUUACAAAAAAAAUAAGCAAUCCAGUAAGUUAGUCAUUUAGAGUUUAAAGCUAAUCAACAUAAAACCAAAUGGAUAAAUAACACCAUAAAUCCAAAAUUGUUCUCUAAUACAUUAAUACUCUAAGAUAAACAACACCCUAGUCAAAAUGAUGUCAUUUUAUUAAAGCCGGUCCGGUUCGGUUUGAGAACGGUUUUAUUUACUGACAAAUCUGAAUCAAUCUAAACUUGUUUUUUAUAUGUCAAAAACCAACCAAACCAAACCGAAUAAAAUUUUAAACCAAACCUAACCUGCGGUUUGAUUCGGUUUCACCGGUUUGAUUGAUUCAAGUUUGGUUUUUGGUCACCCCUAGUUGCAAUGAUUCAUUUGAGAAAUAGUGCAGGAGGACGAUAGAUGGAUCAAAGGCGAGUCUGAGCCUCUACUUGUUCCCAACCUUUUUUAUCUUCUAAGAUAAGUAUCCUGUUUAUUUCUCUAUUUUGUUUUUUUCAAAAUUUUGUUAGGUUUAUGAUUUUUCUAUGAUAGAGUCAUGCAAAUAUGGAGUAACUUCUUUAGACUUUUUUUACAUUUUUUUUACACGGUUUUGUUACAUUGAUAUUUAGCUAUUCUUUUUUGUUCUUAAAAGAAAAAAGGUUUGAUUUCACUGCCAUGAUGCCAUCCAAAACCCUUUUCUCAGUAUGCUAGUCUUUUCUUUGUGAAAAUUAAGAUCAAAAGAUUGGUUGAAUGACAAUGUUAUUUUGGAAAAGGCAAAUUAUAAAAAUCUCUCUGACAAUAGGUCGAAAAUACAGGUACAUUCAAUAAUUUUCAAAACCUAUGGUUACACUCUUAAUGUUUUAGUUAACACUACAGUCUUACCCAUGCUGUUGGACAGUUUGUUAAUGUUAACUAAAACCUCAUUGCCACGUCAUUACAGAUUUUUGAAAUGACUAAAAUAGCCUUGAACAAAGGAUUAAAAAAAAAAAUCUCCCAACUUCCUCCAUCUCCUCGACACCCUCUAUCCUUUCUGCCCGUAGCGUCGCUGCCAGCCAUUCCUCUUCCCUCUAUGCUCAGCUCAGCCUACUUCAAAUGAAAAUCAAGCGCGCUGCCAAUUGCCACGAGCCUAGCAUCGUCUAUGCCGACAUGAUCACCUUCUUCGCGAUGGGCCAUAUGAUCUCCUUGGUCCACAUUGCCCAACUUUUCGCCACCCGCAGCAUCGACUCCACCGUCCUCCUCACCUCGGUCAAUGCCGCCCUCAUCCAGCCCAUCAUGGACUAUGCCGCCGCCGGUCUCCCCCUCCACACCUUCCUCUACCCCUUCCCACCAUCGCCUCUGAUCCCCCCCGGGGGGUGUCAAGAACAUCAGCGCCCUCCUCCUUCUGAAUGCCAUAAAAUCGAUGUCGCUUCUCUUCUCACCCACCCUGACCACAACCACCUUCUCAGCCUCCACCACCUUGAUGCCAUCGUCACUAACACCCAAUUGCCCUGGACCACCGCCAUCAUGCGCGACCUCACCAUUGCCCACCUAUCCUUCCAUGACAUCGGCCUUUUCCCUGUCUGCAUCAUCGGGGCUCUCCUUCACCACCUCCCCCACCUCGCCGUCACCAGUGAGACGGCUUUCUCGAGGCAACGGUGAUGGCUAGCUUCUAGCUGGCAAAGCAGUGGCCACUAAUGCCAUAGAUGUAAUAAUGGGCACUGAAAGAGGUGAUGGUGACGGUGCCGGGGCCCAUGGAUAGGGUGGAGCCAUUAACAUCUAGUCCUCGGUGGAGUAGGCGUCGUAGUUGGGUGGUUCAUUUUGAAAAGGGAGGAAGAUGUAUCAAAAGAAACAAAAAAAAGAAAGAGAAAAAAAAGACUAUUGGGGGUUUGGGAUCUCACAAUCCACUCGAAACAUUUAAGUUGAUGCUCACGGGUCUUUCUCCCUCUUUAACUUUUCUGCUCACUUUUCUCUUAGCUCCUUCAAACCCCUAUCCUCACAGCCCAAGCUUACUGUAGUGGAGAAGAGAGGGAAGGAGAGUGUACCUGCCCUUCAAAGCUCUCUCUUUCUUGUGGGCUGGUGUGUCUCUUCGAGCUUUUCUUUUUAGAAGAACUUUCUGCAGCCUUGAAAUUAAAGAUAAGUGAUCAUCUCUCUCGCUCUCGGUUUUUCCUCUCUCUCCCGCUCUCUCUUUGCUCUUACAUAAGCUGUAGCAGUUGAAGGCAAUUAUAGGGGUUUGGAUGGAUACUUUUUUAUAACGGAUGGCAAAUUGGUCAUUUUACAUUUUUGAAAUGGUUUGAAUAACGCCGUUAUAUUUUAGGGGUGUAAGUGUAGGUUUUGAAAACUAGUGGGUGGAACUGUAACAAACACAAACCUCAGGGGGAUUUUUUUAAUUUACUCUUUUGAAAAUCAUGCCAUAGCAAAACUCAAUAGGGACCUAGUCUCCCAAGUAUCUCAUUUGGACAUGGUGUUUGAAUGCAUUCAUGUCUUUGUCUUGUUCUCUCUCUUCUCGAGGCAAUGAUGAUGAGAGCUUGGAGCUGAAUAGCGUGAGAAAGGCCCUGUUCAUGCAUCCAUGAGACAGCUCAGAAAGGUGGAACUUAGCCUAGUGCAAGUAUCACACCAUGGAUUUGGUAUCAGAUUCAUAUUAUCAUGAAAAUACAACUCCAGAAAUUGAAAAAUUUGGAGCCAGCCAAAGAAUAAUUUUUUCGAUCACAAAUAGCCCACACCCCACAAAAUAUCAUGCCUCUACCAAGAUUAAGCUCUCAAAACCUCAAGGGACCAGCUCACACCGCCACAACUCGCACAAAAUCCUGUAUGCUUGAGAAAAAACCCCCAUCAGAACCUAAGAAACCCCUCCGAUGUCCCUUAGUUGCUCUCCUUUCUUGCAGAUCUCUGACAAAGAGAAUGAAACAAAAAAAAAAGUAGCGAAUAGAAAAAAGAAUGAUCAAUCUAUGGGGGAAAGGUCUUACUUUCAAUUUUUUCCAUCUAUCCUUUGUUCUUGUUGAUUUUUCCAUUGGUUUCCCCCAGUUUGCAGCAAUGCUCGUUUACAGUGGUGGCAGCCAGCUUGGAUGGUCUGCUGCUUUGCAGGCAACCGCUGCUAGCCAUUCAUUGAGAAAAGUGAUGAGUGCAAUAUCUGACAUACCAAAAGUAAAUCUGAGCCUCAUCUUCUCUCCUUCUUUCAUUUUUCAGAACUAAGCCCUUGUUCACUUUUCCACUCCUUUUUCAAUUUUUCACUGUUUUCAAAUUUUUCAAUGUUCAAAAUAUUUAUCUGAAAUGAUUUCUAGUUCAUGGGUUUCUGAUUCUUCUUUUUCUCGAUGUUGAAGUUGGAUCCUGACUCGACCCGACCCAUUUGCAGCCCUUUUGUCAUUUGUUGAGGUAUGAGAGCUCCAGAGAAAAAUAAAUCAGGGUUGGUGACUUGGUGCUCCCCCAAGUUGUCCCCUCUUUGUUAUAAGCUGAAUUAAAAGUCUAUAGAGUGCCCUCUAUAGUGAUGAUUGUCUACCAGUUAAUGAACUGAGAUCAUCUGAACUCAGGCUCUUAAACCCCAUACCUCUCUCUAUGUAUGUCUUGCUCUAUCUUUUCUCUGGAGGCAGUGAUGAUGAAGCUCUUUUAGAUUCCUCCCUUAUUUUCUUUUGGGACUAUUGUGAGGUUGCUUGUAUGGUCUGUCACUCCACGGACAAUCUCUAUCAGCCAUUUGUGAACAAAGAAUGCAGAAGUCGAAUGACAGAUCAAUCAAAGCCUUUAUGUUAUUUGUUGAGGUAUGAAAGUUCCAGGGAGAAAUAAGUAAGGGUUGGCGACUUGGUGCUCCCCCGAGUUGCCCCCUCUUUGUUAUAAGAUGAACAAAAAUUCUAUAGAGUGCCUUCCAUGGUGAUGGUUGUCUCCUCAGUCAUGAACUGGAGAUUGUCCGAACUCAGCUCUUAAUUCCCAUACCUUUCUCUAUGUAUGUCUUGCUCUAUCUUUCUCUGGAGGCAGUGAUGAUGAAGCUCUUAUAGAUUCCUCCAGUAUUUUUCUUUUGUGAUGAUUGUGAGACCCCCCUGACAACCUCUACUGCCAUUUGUGGACCAAAAAUGCAGAAGUGGGAUGAUGGUACGAAGGUGAAUCUGAGCCUCUUGCCGCUUGUCUGUGUCCUUUUUAUGUUCUGAGAUAGAAUUGUCACUACCACCCAAAUGGCAUCAAAUCCUCUUUUUUGUGCAUACAAGUCUUCUACUUGAUUCGUGCUUCUAACCGAACCUGAUUCGUUCGUCUCAAGUUGAAUCUAGAGACAUGCUCAAGCUGCUUGAUUCAUUGGACAGCUGUGUUUUCAGCCCAAUAUGCUGCUCAGCUAUGAGGCUUGAUGGAGGAACCAGGAAGAGUUGGUCAGUUGGUGCUCUGGUGCUACCAAGAGUUGCGCCCUUCCACAAUAUGACAUGGCUGUUAUUUAAGACCUCUCUGUUUUGAAUGCAUUCUUCUCUUUCUCUUGCUGUAUCUUUUCUAUUGAGGUGGUGAUGAAACCUUUUUUCGACUUCUCUCUCCUGUUUUCCUUUUGCAACAGUGCAUGACAGUUGGGGCAUUCCAUUUCUUCCUAGACAACUGCUGCAGUCACUUGUUUAGAGGAUUGCAGCAGAAGGAUGUGAGGAUUCAUGCGGAUGUUUGUUUAGUCUGGGAGAUCAUAGCAGGGCAAGGACAUUAAUUCAUAACCUUCUGGCUAGACCAUUUUGGGUGAAGUUUUUGGUCAUUGCAAAAGAUGAAUGAUGGAUCCAAGGCAAAUCUGAGCCUCUCUAUGUUUCUUCACUCCUUUAUCUUUCUAAGACAAGGUUAUACAUGGUAGAUGAAGAUUUUGGCAGAUGAUUCUCAUGCAUGAUUCUUGGAUAUGUCAUGCAAAGCAGUGAUUCCUCAGAUAUGGACUAGGGCUGAUGAGUUGGGAGGGAGCAAAGAAGGCUAUGGAGAAGGUUGGCUUUGAUACCAUGAAGAAAAUAAGACACUAGGGGUAAGUGGAAUGUGUUGUUGCACUCUAUUUUAUACUAUAUUGUAAGGAUACAAAGGUAAUCUCAUAAAAUACAAAGUUAUGAUAAGUGAAUCAGUCAUUAAUCAUCAGACUAGGAAUUAUUGCUUUGUAUAAUUUGUCCAAGAAUCAGGCACGAGAAUCAUGUGAAGAAAUCAUUGUACUAAAAUCUUCAUAUGAUCUGUCCAAGGUUUAUUUGAAAAUAUGUAAAAAUUCAUAUACAAGAUUUAUGUGCGAAAAUUUUCAUCUGCCAUAUACGACCUGUCCAUGAAUCAUGUGGAAGAUUAGUUGAAGUGAUAUUUAUUAGAGUCAUAUGUCAAAAUCUUGAUAUGCUAUGUAUGACAAAAAUCAUAUGCCAGAAGUUUUAUUUCCAUUCAUGACUUACAUCACCCAUGCAUUCUUUUUCUUUACCUAGCAUCUAGGAGGUGAUGGAUGCUAGCAAGCCAAAUAAUUGCAUCUCAAAAGAGUUGCCUGCCUUUUGAUUUCCAAACUAUGAAAUUUGAUUGAAAAUAUUAGGAAUUGAUAAAUGAAAGACUAAUUACAAUAAAGUAAGGAGGCUGGUGCGAUUACUGUAGACUGCUUUCUUGGGUUGUUUAGUUGACAAGCUUCAUUAAAAUUAGUAAAUAAAAAGACUCAAAAUGAAUGUGUUUUACAAAGGUGAAAAGGCUUUUUUUUUAUUCUUUUCCUUGCAGCCUAUCCUGUUUGGUUCUUUUCAAUAAAACUGCCAACAUGGCGAGAUAUAAAAUCUAAAAAAAAAUGAGCUUUAUGAAAGAUGGGUCUACCCCUGUUGUUCAUAAUCUGUUUCAACCUGUUUCACUGAAAAUCAUGUUUUAUUGAUAUCUAUUUUAGUAAAUUUGAUGGCAACUAAGGUGAUCAUUUUGAUGGCCCUUAUGGAUAUUUGUUUUGCUGAACAUCUGUUGUUCAAAGCCCCUUUCUGCUCCUUCCUAGGGCCCAAGGUGUAUAUCUCGGUGGAAAUGUUGGGUUGUACCUGUAUCAGCACAUGCUAAUAUAAUAUGCAUGAAAUUUUUGUCCUUAUUAUCUUAGUUAAUAGAAAUUGGUGUGGUAUAUAGAAGAUAUUGACCAAUGAGGUAUCAUCUCAUCUUAAAAAUUCUUGUGUGUGCUGCAAACUAAAUGCAUAGAGCUUUAGGCUGUUUGGACUUGGUUUGUUACAUGAAAGGGCUGUGCAAGCUCUGCAAGUGUUCACGCUUGUGUUUUUUCCUUGUUACAAACCUGAAUGAACUUUUUGCCAGGUCAAGCCUCAGCAUCUACUUAUCUUUGUGAGCCCAAGGUGUUUGAAGCAUCUACUAUAAUGAGGCUUUAGGUUGCAUUCACACGGUAGAGCCAUGUCAAAUGGUUAAGAGACUGGUGCUUCAUGGUUCAUACCAUGCUUCAUGCCAUUUUAUUAUUAUUAUUAUGAAUUCCCCAACAAGUUUUAGUGGAACUAGGAUAAGAUUUUUGCUUUCUUUGUUGCAUUUAUGAAACUGAUAGAUUUUGGGACUUUUGUGGAAUGACAUCUUUCUUAUUAUUCUUUUGGGCAGCGUUGGGCUCAGGAAUAAAUCAGGCAGGAGGCUGGGAACAAGCCUUGCGUCGGCUAGCAGAUCUUUUUUUCCAAAAACAGAAAAAAAGGAAAAAGAAAAAGAAAAGGGCAUGAGCCAGGAUAUGUAAUGAACUUGCUUAUGCUAGGCGACUAUUUAAGGAAAGCUGUCAUAAGCUAUUUUUGCCUUUAUGUCAUUUGUUGAGGUAUGAAAGCUCCAGGGAGAAAUAUGUAAGGGUUGGCGACUUGGUGCUCCCCUGAGUUGCCCCCCUCUUUGUUAUAAGAUGAACAAAAAUUCUACAGAGUGUCUUCCAUGGUGAUGGUUGUCUCCUCGGUCAUGAACUGGAGAUUGUCCGAACUCAGCUCUUAAUUCCCAUACCUCUCUCUAUGUAUGUCUUGCUCUAUCGUUCUCUGGAGGCAGUGAUGAUGAAGCUCUUGUAGAUUCCUCCAGUAUUUUUCUUUUGUGACUGUUGUGAGACUCCCCUGACAACCUCUACUGCCAUUUGUGGACAAAUAGUGCAGAAGUGGGAUGAUGGUACGAAGGUGAAUCUGAGCCUCUUGCCACUUGUCUGUGUUUUUUUUAUGUUCUGAGAUAGGGCUUUGUCACAAUGAUAUUUGUCGUUUUUAUUUUUCUCAGAAUUGUCACUACCACCCAAAUGGUAUCAAAUCCACUUUUUUGUGCAUACAAGUCUUCUACUUGAUUCGUGCUUCUAACUGAACUUGAUUCGUGCUUGUCUCAAGUUGAAUCUAGAGACAUGCUCAAGCUGCUUGAUUCAUUGGACAGCUGUGUUUUCAGCCCAAUAUGCUGCUCAGCUAUGAGGCUUGAUGGAGGAACCAGGAAGAGUUGGUCAGUUGGUGCUCUGGUGCUACCAAGAGUUGCCCUCUUCCACAAUAUGACAUGGCUGUUAUUUAAGACCUCUCUGUUUUGAAUGCAUUCUUCUCUUUAUCUUGCUGUAUCUUUUCUAUUGAGGUGGUGAUGAAACCUCUUUUCGACUUCUCUCUCCUGUUUUCCUUUUGCAACAGUGCAUGACAGUUGGGGCAAUCCAUUUCUUCGUAGACAACUGCUGCAGUCACUUGUUGAGAGGAUUGCAGCAGAAGGAUGUGAGGAUCCAUGCGGAUGUUUGUUUAGUCCGGGAGAUCAUAGCAGGGCAAGGACAUUAAUUCAUAACCUUCUGGCUAGACCAUUUUGGAUGAAGUUUUUGGUCAUUGCAAAAGAUGAAUGAUGGAUCCAAGGCAAA